GCACCCCACUGCGGAGAAGCCCCAGGAGACCACAGCCCUCGGCUGCUCCGCGUACCCGCAGCUCUCAGCCCGGUGGCCACGGCGCCGCGAGCUUUCGGAGACACCGGACAGAGCCCAGAGACGCCGACUCAGACCGCGUGCAGUUUCCAGAGUGUUUCCAUCCUGUGGCGCCUCCACAGUCACGCCAGCCUGCAUCCUAAAAAGUGGCCGGGACUUGACUCGAGCUCGUCUGGUCUGAAGAUGUUUUCAGAACUCACUAUUCUAAUUGUUAGGAAUCAUCUUCUCAUUUCCAGCUUAAUUUGAUGCACUGCUGGUUAAUAAACAUUUGUUCCUCUGCCAGCAUAG